rnacentral:rRNA from 1 species
UACGAAGGGGGCUAGCGUUGUUCGGAAUUACUGGGCGUAAAGCGCGCGUAGGCGGGUAUUUAAGUCAGGGGUGAAAUCCCAGAGCUCAACUCUGGAACUGCCUUUGAUACUGGGUACCUAGAGUCCGGAAGAGGUGAGUGGAAUUGCGAGUGUAGAGGUGGAAUUCGUAGAUAUUCGGAGGAACACCAGUGGCGAAGGCGGCUCACUGGUCCAUUACUGACGCUGAGGUGCGAAAGCGUGGGGAGCAAACAGG